rnacentral:rRNA from 1 species
UACGUAGGGUGCAAGCGUUGUCCGGAAUUAUUGGGCGUAAAGAGCUCGUAGGCGGUCCGUCACGUCGGCUGUGAAAACUCGGGGCUCAACCCCGAGCCUGCAGUCGAUACGGGCGGACUAGAGUCCGGCAGGGGAGACUGGAAUUCCUGGUGUAGCGGUGAAAUGCGUAGAUAUCUGGAGGAAUACCGGUGGCGAAGGCGGCAUCCUGGACCGACAUUGACGCUGAGGAGCGAAAGCUAGGGGAGCAAACGGG